GAUGAACGCUAGCUACAGGCUUAACACAUGCAAGUCGAGGGGUAACGAGAGGAAAGCUUGCUUUCCUUGUCGACGACCGGCGCACGGGUGAGUAACGCGUAUCCAACCUGCCCCCAACUAGGGAAUAACCUUGCGAAAGUAAGACUAAUACCCUAUAAUUUCCUCAGAUGUCAUCUGACGAGGAAUAAAGAUUUAUCGGUUGUGGAUGGGGAUGCGUCUGAUUAGCUUGUUGGCGGGUAACGGCCCACCAAGGCAACGAUCAGUAGGGGUUCUGAGAGGAAGGUCCCCCACAUUGGAACUGAGACACGGUCCAAACUCCUACGGGAGGCAGCAGUGAGGAAUAUUGGUCAAUGGGCGGAAGCCUGAACCAGCCAAGUAGCGUGCAGGAUGACGGCCCUAUGGGUUGUAAACUGCUUUUAUACAGGAAUAAAGUUAGCCACGUGUGGUUAUUUGUAGGUACUGUAUGAAUAAGGACCGGCUAAUUCCGUGCCAGCCGCCGCGGUAAAAC
rnacentral:rRNA from 1 species